rnacentral:rRNA from 1 species
UACGGAGGGUGCGAGCGUUGUCCGGAAUCAUUGGGCGUAAAGGGCGCGUAGGCGGCCUGCUAAGUCGGGGGUGAAAUCCUGCGGCUCAACCGCAGGACUGCCUUCUAAACUGUCAGGCUGGAGCACGGUAGAGGCAGAUGGAAUUCCCGGUGUAGUGGUGAAAUGCGUAGAUAUCGGGGUGAACACCAGUGGCGAAGGCGACUAUCUGGGCUGCAACUGACGCUGAGGCGCGAAGGCUAGGGGAGCAAACAGG